rnacentral:rRNA from 1 species
AGAGUUUGAUCCUGGCUCAGGAUGAACGCUAGCGACAGGCUUAACACAUGCAAGUCGAGGGGCAGCGGGGUGUAGCAAUACACCGCCGGCGACCGGCGCACGGGUGAGUAACGCGUAUGCAACUUGCCUAUCAGAGGGGGAUAACCCGGCGAAAGUCGGACUAAUACCGCAUGAAGCAGGGGCCCCGCAUGGGGAUAUUUGCUAAAGAUUCAUCGCUGAUAGAUAGGCAUGCGUUCCAUUAGGCAGUUGGCGGGGUAACGGCCCACCAAACCGACGAUGGAUAGGGGUUCUGAGAGGAAGGUCCCCCACAUUGGUACUGAGACACGGACCAAACUCCUACGGGAGGCAGCAGUGAGGAAUAUUGGUCAAUGGGCGCGAGCCUGAACCAGCCAAGUCGCGUGAGGGAUGAAGGUUCUAUGGAUCGUAAACCUCUUUUAUAAGGGAAUAAAGUGCGGGACGUGUCCCGUUUUGUAUGUACCUUAUGAAUAAGGAUCGGCUAACUCCGUGCCAGCAGCCGCGGUAAUACGGAGGAUCCGAGCGUUAUCCGGAUUUAUUGGGUUUAAAGGGUGCGUAGGCGGCCUUUUAAGUCAGCGGUGAAAGUCUGUGGCUCAACCAUAGAAUUGCCGUUGAAACUGGGGGGCUUGAGUAUGUUUGAGGCAGGCGGAAUGCGUGGUGUAGCGGUGAAAUGCUUAGAUAUCACGCAGAACCCCGAUUGCGAAGGCAGCCUGCCAAGCCAUGACUGACGCUGAUGCACGAAAGCGUGGGGAUCAAACAGGAUUAGAUACCCUGGUAGUCCACGCAGUAAACGAUGAUCACUAGCUGUUUGCGAUACAGUGUAAGCGGCACAGCGAAAGCGUUAAGUGAUCCACCUGGGGAGUACGCCGGCAACGGUGAAACUCAAAGGAAUUGACGGGGGCCCGCACAAGCGGAGGAACAUGUGGUUUAAUUCGAUGAUACGCGAGGAACCUUACCCGGGUUUGAACGCAUUCGGACCGAGGUGGAAACACCUUUUCUAGCAAUAGCCGUUUGCGAGGUGCUGCAUGGUUGUCGUCAGCUCGUGCCGUGAGGUGUCGGCUUAAGUGCCAUAACGAGCGCAACCCUUGCCACUAGUUACUAACAGGUGAUGCUGAGGACUCUGGUGGGACUGCCAGCGUAAGCUGCGAGGAAGGCGGGGAUGACGUCAAAUCAGCACGGCCCUUACAUCCGGGGCGACACACGUGUUACAAUGGCGUGGACAAAGGGAGGCCACCUGGCGACAGGGAGCGAAUCCCCAAACCACGUCUCAGUUCGGAUCGGAGUCUGCAACCCGACUCCGUGAAGCUGGAUUCGCUAGUAAUCGCGCAUCAGCCAUGGCGCGGUGAAUACGUUCCCGGGCCUUGUACACACCGCCCGUCAAGCCAUGGGAGCCGGGGGUACCUGAAGUCCGUAACCGCGAGGAUCGGCCUAGGGUAAAACUGGUGACUGGGGCUAAGUCGUAACAAGGUAGCCG